rnacentral:rRNA from 1 species
ACGGAGGGGGUUAGCGUUGUUCGGAAUUACUGGGCGUAAAGCGCACGUAGGCGGAUCAGAAAGUAAGGGGUGAAAUCCCAGGGCUCAACCCUGGAACUGCCUCUUAAACUCCUGAUCUAGAGUUCGAGAGAGGUGAGUGGAAUUCCGAGUGUAGAGGUGAAAUUCGUAGAUAUUCGGAGGAACACCAGUGGCGAAGGCGGCUCACUGGCUCGAUACUGACGCUGAGGUGCGAAAGUGUGGGGAGCAAACAGG